ACGUGAUCUGAGUUCAGACCGGAGUAAUCCAGGUCGGUUUCUAUCUAUAACAGAGCUUAUUCUAGUACGAAAGGACCGAAAAAGCAUGGCCUAUACUUAAAGCAAGCCACCACUAGAAACUUAUGCCUCCCACUCAAUUAGUUACUAGCCUUCAACCCCCCUCAAAACAAGAGA
rnacentral:rRNA from 1 species